GACUUUGUUGGAUGACUGCAGCAAGAAAUCGCCUGCAUGGAACAUAAUGGACAUAAUGGGAAAGGACAUCAGCAGGAAUGAGCUGAGAAAACGUAAUCAUUGAUGAGAGCAUGUGUCGAGAGUAUCAUUUCAUGAACGGCAGCAGGAAUCAAGGAAAAAACGGAUGCAAAAUUUGGACCAUCACGGGGAAUAGGAGCGAACCUGCCCAUUGCCACAGCAACUUGAUAAUGUGAGCCUCCGGAAGAAUGCUACGGGCCCA